rnacentral:rRNA from 1 species
UACGUAGGUGGCAAGCGUUAUCCGGAAUUAUUGGGCGUAAAGCGCGCGCAGGCGGUUUCUUAAGUCUGAUGUGAAAGCCCACGGCUCAACCGUGGAGGGUCAUUGGAAACUGGGGAACUUGAGUGCAGAAGAGAAAAGCGGAAUUCCACGUGUAGCGGUGAAAUGCGUAGAGAUGUGGAGGAACACCAGUGGCGAAGGCGGCUUUUGGUCUGUAACUGACGCUGAGGCGCGAAAGCGUGGG